GCCAGGUGCAGUGGCACACACCUGUAAUCCCAGCGGCUUGGGAGGCUGAGGCAGGAGGAUCAUGAGUUCAAAGCCAGCCUCAGCAAUCUAUUGAGGCCUUAAGCAACUCAGUGAGACCCUGUCUCUA
rnacentral:sRNA from 1 species